rnacentral:lncRNA from 1 species
CUCCACUCUCCACGCACACCCAUUCCUCGAGACAGAGCAAACGCACCCUACAGCCACCCACGACUCCACCCUAAAUUCACCAGUACUGGACGUCCUUCUACCUCGCUGAUCCUUUCUGCCUCCUGAGCUCCAAUCUGCUCUAGGUGUUUUAGCAGUAAUUUGGGACAGAAACGGGUGGGGAGGUGCAGAAGGGUCCUAAACAUCCGGGUAAAACGAAACGAGGUGACUCAGGCAACUGCACCAGUUCCAGAGGUGAGGACGACAGAAAAGCCCCAAAGGUGUCUCUCCUACCAGUCGUGCCGUGGACCUCGGAGCCCAGGCUAGGGUAAGAGGGCUGCGGGGGAAAACAGUGACGAACGAGGGAGGGUACGGGGUGAGCAGGGGAAGUCCUGAGCCGUAUCCGAGGAAGGCAAGCGCUAGGGCCGCAGACGCCAGCUCCAGGCCUGUUCUCCACAAACCCACAUCAUCCCUUCCCUGUUUUCACCGCGCGUAUCCUCAACUUACACAGUCACUCACCAGACCCUCACUACAAAUGCUACCUCCUCUGUGGUCUGAUUUCCUCAGAACAUCCCGGCCGCUGCUACUGACAUUUCACACAAGGAAACAGCAGAACACGACGAGCGAGCUGCAGCCCCAGCCUCGCAGGUUGUAUCCUAAAGUCCGUGUCAGCGCGGAGGCUGAAACCAAUUCGGG